AUUGAACGCUGGCGGCAUGCCUUACACAUGCAAGUCGAACGGCAGCAUGGAGGAGCUUGCUCCUCUGAUGGCGAGUGGCGAACGGGUGAGUAAAGCAUCGGAACGUACCGUGUAGUGGGGGAUAACGUAGCGAAAGUUACGCUAAUACCGCAUACGCACUGAGGUGGAAAGCAGGGGAUCGCAAGACCUUGCGCUAUACGAGCGGCCGAUGUCAGAUUAGCUAGUUGGUAGGGUAAAGGCCUACCAAGGCGACGAUCUGUAGCGGGUCUGAGAGGAUGGUCCGCCACACUGGGACUGAGACACGGCCCAGACUCCGACGGGAGGCAGCAGUGGGGAAUAUUGGACAAUGGGCGAAAGCCUGAUCCAGCCAUGCCGCGUGUGUGAAGAAGGUCUUCGGAUUGUAAAGCACUUUAAGUUGGGAGGAAGGGUUGUAGAUUAAUACUCUGCAAUUUUGACGUUACCGACAGAAUAAGCACCGGCUAACUUCGUGCCAGCAGCCGCAGUAACAC
rnacentral:rRNA from 1 species